UCCCUAGUUGCUCAGCUGGUAAAGAAUCUGCCUGCAAUGCAGGAGACACAGGUUCAAUCCCUGGGUUGGGAA
rnacentral:tRNA from 1 species